AUUGAACGCUGGCGGCAGGCCUAACACAUGCAAGUCGAACGAGUGGCGGACGGGUGAGUAACGCGUAGGUAACCUGCCUAUUAGAGGGGGAUAACUAUUGGAAACGAUAGCUAAUACCGCAUACUAGUAGAUGGCCUGCGUUGUAUUAGCUAGUAGGUAGGGUAAUGGCCUACCUAGGCGACGAUACAUAGCCGACCUGAGAGGGUGAUCGGCCACACUGGGACUGAGACACGGCCCAGACUCCUACGGGAGGCAGCAGUAGGGAAUCUUCGGCAAUGGACGAAAGUCUGACCGAGCAACGCCGCGUGAGUGAAGAAGGUUUUCGGAUCGUAAAACUCUGAUGUUAGAGAAGCGGUAUCUAACCAGAAAGCCACGGCUAACUACGUGCCAGCAGCCGCGGUAAUAC
rnacentral:rRNA from 1 species